GAUAGUAAUCAUACAAGGUGAGGUAAAGCAGGACAAUAGUAAGAUACGAAAAAAAUUGUUCAAGAUGGCUUAUGGGAAAACUUUGUUCCUGUGCCAAAUCAGAUUUUUUUGGUCAACCACAACAUUUUAAGACAUAAGUGAAGUUGUGCGGGAUCAUUACUUUUCGAACUCAUGCUUAGGCAAGUCACGUUUUUAACUUGUUUAUUGGAUGAAUUUUUAGCAGCUAAUCAAGUCGACAUAAAAUCCAUCGAACCGACAACCGAGCCAUGUCCCUGGUUACCAGUCCUUCGGUGAUGUAGGAACAACCGUUGACAAUCGGCACGUAAGUUCCGAACGGUUUGAGCGAUAACGAAAUUUUUUUUUUUUGGACAAUCUCGAUGGAAGUCACUCCGACAGUCGGUUUUUUUUACAAGUUAAGAAUAACAGCACCUGCUUAAUUGCAUAUGUAAAUUUGAGGUAAAGGACACAAGGAAUAUAUUGCAGUCCCUUGACACGGAACAGAAAUAGAUCUGAUUAUGUGAAUUUCCCACAGCGACUGCACGUACGUAAUUAUCUGAGGACGGUGAAAGCAAAAGGGUUGUCGCUACUCAUCAGGGAGCUGAAACUUCAAAACAACAAUUGUUUCAUGUGCAAGAUAUAACGUAGUUAAAAACAACAAGUUUCACGAUUGUCAAGACCAACAUCCAUUAGCGAGAUAAAAUACACGGACAGCACACCUCUCAUACAACAAUCUUUGGCGAACUGAACGGAAUUCAAGAUCCAACUUACACUCAGGAGUGAGGGAAUUUGGUUGGUUAACUGCUUCGUUCACCAUGAGCAGGGUACCAAAACUCAUCACGUAGAGUUAAGCAGACGCUAUCUUCUAAUUAUUUUCUCUAAAGGUAACUUAUAAUCCAAAGUCGGCUCCUGAACACAAAAUUUAUCUCCCUGGAAGGAGCUAAGUUCAAAUAGCCUGAGGCGUCAAACGCCACGGGCUGUCAUUCAAGCUUGUAAUGACGUCAGUACUGUCAUCGAGGCCAAGUUAAUACGCUACAGCUUGCCUUUGCUUUGUAAAAAUUAAAUUUUUUUUAUGAGG